rnacentral:rRNA from 1 species
AUGCACGCUGGCGGCGUGCCUAAUACCUGCAAGUCGAGCGAACAGAUGAGGAGCUUGCUCCUCUGACGUUAGCGGCGGACGGGUGAGUAACACGUGGAUAACCUACCUAUAAGACUGGGAUAACUUCGGGAAACCGGAGCUAAUACCGGAUAAUAUAUUGAACCGCAUGGUUCAAUAGUGAAAGACGGUUUUGCUGUCACUUAUAGAUGGAUCCGCGCCGCAUUAGCUAGUUGGUAAGGUAACGGCUUACCAAGGCGACGAUGCGUAGCCGACCUGAGAGGGGUAUCCGCCACACUUGAACUGAGACAAGGUCCAGACUCCUACGGGAGGCAGCAGGAGGGAAUCCUCCGGCAAGGGCGGAAGCCUGACGGAGCAAAGCCGGGGGAGGGAAGAAGGUCUUCGGAUCGGAAAACUCUGUUAUUAGGGAAGAACAAAUGUGUAAGUAACCAAGCACGUCUUGAAGGUAACUAAUCAGAAAGGCACGGCUAACUAAGUG